GGGAAUGUGGCUCAGUGGUAGAGUGCUUGUCUGGCCUACAUGAAGCCCUAGGUUCAAUUCCUAGCACUGCAA
rnacentral:tRNA from 1 species